rnacentral:rRNA from 1 species
UACAGAGGUCUCGAGCGUUAGGCGGAAUCACUGGGCUUAAAGCGUGUGUAGGCGGAUUGGUAAGUACCUUGUGAAAUCCCACGGCUCAACCGUGGAAACUGCUCGGUAUACUGCCUGUCUUGUGCAACCUAGGGGCGAGCGGAACAGAUGGUGGAGCGGUGAAAUGCGUAGAUAUCAUCUGGAACGCCAAUGGUGAAAACAGCUCGCUGGGGGUAUCCUGACGCUGAGACACGAAAGCCAGGGGAGCAAAGCGGG